rnacentral:rRNA from 1 species
AUGACUGUUCAGGAAAGAAACGGAAAACCUUGUGCGCCUGUGCUCGGAUCCUACCUUCCCCUGUCCGUGAACGCCGCGCCAUGCCCUACCUCGGAACGGCAACCCUGGGCGGAGGGCCCGUGCGCCGCGUCCACAGCCACACCCACGCCCCCAGCUAAUCUGGUGCUGGUCCAUAGCCCAUGCUCCACCCUCACCCCAUGUUACGACCUACUCGUCCGCUCGCAACAGCCAUACGGCAGCAGCAAUAACUCCAUCGGCCCCAGCCGCUCGCCGCCUAUUAAUACCCCGGAUGCCCAGCUCCAUGGCCGCAAACCAACAGCUGCUACUCCAGCAUCCACCCAUCCAUCCAUCUCUCAUCUUCUUCUUCUUGCAACGAAACGAGAGCAUCUAGCUUACAGCGAGCUAAAGAUUCGAACGAUGGCCGUUCUUGUGGCGAGGCAGGGGCGCGAGCUGCAGCGGUACAGCGCGAGCACCGGCGGGCGCAUCGUGGUGGGGUGCAUCCCCUACCGGGUGCGCGGCGGCGGCGGCGAGGGCGAGGGCGAGCUGGAGGUGCUGGUGAUCAGCUCGCAGAAGGGGCACGGCAUGAUGUUCCCCAAGGGCGGGUGGGAGCUGGACGAGUCCAUGGACGACGCCGCCCGGCGCGAGGCCCUGGAGGAGGCCGGCGUCCGCGGGGAGAUGGGCAAGGUGCUCGGCUGCUGGCACUACCAGAGCCGCCGCUACCAGACCACCUACGAGGGCAUCAUGUACCCGCUCCGCGUCACCGACGAGCUCCAGCAGUGGCCCGAGAUGGCCUCCCGCAAGCGCACCUGGGCCACGGUGCAGCAGGUCAUGGAGGGAUGCCAGCACUGCUGGAUGCGGGAGGCGCUCGAGGAGCUCGUCGCCCGGCACGCCAAGCCGCAGUCCGCCCUGUGA